rnacentral:rRNA from 1 species
CUGUACUAUCCUGUAACAGAACUGUGGGGACACAGGCAGAGAGCGUGAGCCGGGAAUGGAAAGACCGGUACAAGCGAGGUAGGAGAAGAGUUGGCAAAUCCGCUCUUUAAUCUGAAGACGUGAUGUGGACUGAAAAUAAGUAGGGAAGCACGUGAGCUGACUGUCAAGAAAAGCCGCUAUUGUUUGCAGGAUACCCGUACCGUAAACCGACACAGGUGGAUGAGGAGAGAAUCCUAAGGCCGACGGGAGAAGCAUUGUUAAGGAACUCAGCAAAAUGACUCCGUAACUUCGGGAGAAGGAGUGCCAGUAAGAUGGCCGCAGAGAAUUGGCCCAAGCAACUGUUUAGCAAAAACACAGGUCUAUGCAAAACCGAAAGGUGAGGUAUAUGGGCUGACGCCUGCCCGGUGCUGGAAGGUUAAGGGGAGAGGUUAGCGCAAGCGAAGCUUUGAACUUAAGCCCCAGUAAACGGCGGCCGUAACAAUAACGGUCCUAAGGUAGCGAAAUUCCUUGUCGGGUAAGUUCCGACCCGCACGAAAGGCGUAAUGAUUUGGGCACUGUCUCAACAAUGCACCCGGUGAAAUUGAAAUACCAGUGAAGAUACUGGUUACCUGCGCCAGGACGGAAAGACCCCAUGGAGCUUUACUCCAGCUUGAUACUGGGAUUCGGUAUUGCAUGUACAGGAUAGGUGGGAGGCUAGGAAAUGGUAACGCCAGUUGCCAUGGAGCCAAUGUUGGGAUACCACCCUUGCAGUACUGGGUUUCUAACCAGCAGCCGUGAUCCGGCUGGGGGACAAUGUCAGGUGGGGAGUUUGACUGGGGCGGUCGCCUCCGAAAGGGUAUCGGAGGCGCUCAAAGGUUCCCUCAGAAUGGUUGGAAACCAUUCGAAGAGUGCAAAGGCAGAAGGGAGCUUGACUGCGACACCGACGGGUGGAGCAGGUACGAAAGUAGGACUUAGUGAUCCGGUGGUAUAAAGUGGGAUUGCCAUCGCUCAACGGAUAAAAGCUACCCUGGGAUAACAGGCUUAUCACUCCCAAGAGUUCACAUCGACGGAGUGGUUUGGCACCUCGAUGUCGGCUCAUCGCAUCCUGGGGCUGAAGUAGGUCCCAAGGGUUGGGCUGUUCGCCCAUUAAAGCGGUACGCGAGCUGGGUUCAGAACGUCGUGAGACAGUUCGGUCCCUAUCCGGCGUGGGCGUAAGAUAUUUGAGAGGAGCUGUCCUUAGUACGAGAGGACCGGGAUGGACUGGCCGCUGGUGUAUCUGUUGUCUUACCAAAGGCAUAGCAGAGUAGCCAAGCCGGGAAGGGAUAAACGCUGAAGGCAUCUAAGCGUGAAGCCCCCCUCAAGAUGAGAUAUCUCAUAACGUCAAGUUAGUAAGACCCCUUGAAGACGACGAGGUAGAUAGGGCAGAGGUGGAAGUGUGGUAACACAUGGAGCUGACUGUUACUAAUAGGUCGAGGGCAUAACCAU